CUUGAGAUGCGCUUUUCCGGGGCAUUGAACUUGGGGUGGUGUUGACGUGUUUUUCCCGGACUUAUUUCUAUUUAAACCAGCUGACCUCCAGAGCCAAGCCUUCCAUAAUGCAAGAGCUCUUGAAGAGAAAUCAAUCAAAGUAUGAAGAAAAUGGAUUUGUGUUCUCAUCUUCAGAGGCGGGCAUUUCUCUAAAACCCUCCAUGAUUUAAUCACUGGUAGUAAGCCUGUGAGCACACACACACACACACACACACACACGUUUGUGAGUGCUGGGUAGGGUGAUCCAGGGUGCUCAAUGACCUGAAAUUCAAAUGUCACCUCUUCUUGUGGCUGCCUUGCCUUAAAUGGAUUUCCUAACCUCUCUGUCUCCUCUUCAACCAAGGGAGGCUUGUCUGCUACCACACCAGAUAUUGGGAGAACUACAGAAAAUCCCCAUAGUUUGCACCUCCCGCUGCAGAGUGGGAAGAGACACACAGACACAGCUGCAGAGUGGGAAGAGACACACAGACACAGGUCGCCAGGAUCCUCCAUCCCUUGAAGCAGACCCAUGGUUUGUGGGGUAGAGAAUCAUGUGGCCCCAGCUGCUCCAGGAUCCAGGUCAAGACUCCUGUCUCACACUCUACAGACAGAACUGAUGUGGCCCUGGGUCACAGCAUAACUAGCAGGGAGCCCAAGGAGCCAGGCCAGGCCAGGCCAGGAGCCUGGGCUAAGUAGUUUCUAGAACUAACCCCAUGUUAAAGUGGACAACUGUCAUCAAAGACCUGCCAGUGUGUCUUCUAGAACCAUCACAGACCCAGAGGCCCUUUCAGCAGCUGCACAACCCAAGCUGUAAUACAGCUGCAAUCUAGCCAGGCAUCAAUGGAGCUGGGGAACCUGCUUUAUUUGCAUCACAAGAUCAGCCUGGUACCUUAGUUCCCUGGCAGUGCAGGGGCAGCACUCCUCCUGUACAGGAGGCUCCAGCUUCUUUUGCUGGCCCCCUCUAGGACUGAGAGAGAGGGGAUGGGGCUCUCAUUAAGAAACAUCUCCACCGAGUCCACCAUGGUGUAGCCUCUGGUUUACAGGGACCUGAGCCACCAGAGCAGAAGUGUGCCUGUGAACAUGGACCAUCUGGGACCUUGUCAGGA